rfam:Spinacia oleracea cultivar SynViroflay scaffold16690.con0002.1, whole genome shotgun sequence.
AUUCCAUGGUGUGGGCAUUCCCUUUGGUACUCCUUGAAACGAUCCCAAGCUUCGAAGAGUGACUCAUCUUGCUUUUGCUCAAAGGAUUGGAUCUUGUGGCGACACU